rnacentral:rRNA from 1 species
CACGUAGGAGGCAAACGUUAUCCGGAAUUACUGGGCGUAAAGAGCUCGUAGGUGGUUUGUCACGUCGUCUGUGAAAUUCCGGGGCUUAACCUCGGGCGUGCAGGCGAUACGGGCAAUACUUGAGUGCUGUAGGGGAGACUGGAAUUCCUGGUGUAGCGGUGAAAUGCGCAGAUAUCAGGAGGAACACCAAUGGCGAAGGCAGGUCUCUGGGCAGUUACUGACGCUGAGGAGCGAAAGCAUGGGUAGCGAACAGGAUUAGAUA